rnacentral:rRNA from 1 species
AUUGAACGCUGGCGGCAUGCUUUACACAUGCAAGUCGAACGGUAACAGGUUAAGCUGACGAGUGGCGAACGGGUGAGUAAUGCAUCGGAACGUGCCCGAUCGUGGGGGAUAACGCAGCGAAAGCUGCGCUAAUACCGCAUACGAUCUGAGGAUGAAAGCUGGGGACCGUAAGGCCUCGCGCGAUCGGAGCGGCCGAUGACAGAUUAGGUAGUUGGUGGGGUAAAGGCUCACCAAGCCGACGAUCUGUAGCUGGUCUGAGAGGACGACCAGCCACACUGGGACUGAGACACGGCCCAGACUCCUACGGGAGGCAGCAGUGGGGAAUUUUGGACAAUGGGCGCAAGCCUGAUCCAGCAAUGCCGCGUGCAGGAAGAAGGCCUUCGGGUUGUAAACUGCUUUUGUACGGAGCGAAAAGGCUCUCUCUAAUACAGGGGGCUCAUGACGGUUCCGUAAGAAUAAGCACCGGCUAACUACGUGCCAGCCGCCGCGGUAA